rnacentral:rRNA from 1 species
UAGUCCUGGCCGUAAACGAUGGGUACUAGGUGUAGGAGGUAUCGACCCCUCCUGUGCCGGAGUUAACGCAAUAAGUACCCCGCCUGGGGAGUACGUCCGCAAGGAUGAAACUCAAAGGAAUUGACGGGGGCCCGCACAAGCGGUGGAGUAUGUGGUUUAAUUCGACGCAACGCGAAGAACCUUACCAAGGCUUGACAUUGAGUGACCGCCAUAGAGAUAUGGCUUUCCCUUCGGGGACACGAAAAC